UCCGGUGCGCCCCCGGCGGCCCUUG
rnacentral:ncRNA from 2 species